UCUUGAGUUUCUUCUACAAUCAUUAGAACUUUAGAAGUCCCAUCUUCAUUCAGAAGAUUCAGUUUCGUAUAUCAUUUUCAAGAAUUCUGUUCUUGCAUUAUAGGAAAAGUCCCAUCUUCAUUCAGAAGAUUCAGUUGAUUUCAAAUAUUCACAUAUAUAAAAAAUAAUUUCGGUUCUGCGUAUCUAUAUUUUUGGUUUCAAGUGUAUAUAUAUACAUUUGUUGUAAGUUUAUACAUGAUGACACCAACCGACAUGGCAAAACAAGUACAUAUAUGUAUAUUCUAAUUCUGUUUGUCAACAUCUAUAAAUCAUAUUUAUGCACGCACUAAUAAUUCGUUCGUUAAGCAUAUAUGCUAAGAUACAGUAUCAAUACACACUUGCACAAAACAUAUUCAUGCUUAUUCAUUUUGGUUCAAUAAGACGAUUGUUUGAACUAUUUGAUUAUCGUCCAAUUAGCCAUAGUCGAAAAAAAAUCUGUAGGUCUCCCUUUUCCAUCAAUCACAUAAAAGUAAAAAAGGACUUCUUGGGUAGUCAAUUUCGUACCAUAUAUGCAAAUGAUGUGG
rnacentral:lncRNA from 1 species